rnacentral:tRNA from 13 species
CACUGGGCUUCAAACCCGGCUCGGGGGAGUUC